CCUACGGGGUGCUGCAGUGGGGAAUAUUGGACAAUGGGCGAAAGCCUGAUCCAGCCAUGCCGCGUGUGUGAAGAAGGCCUUCGGGUUGUAAAGCACUUUCAGUGGGGAAGAAAGCCUUGGGGCUAAUACCCUCGAGGAAGGACAUCACCCACAGAAGAAGCACCGGCUAACUCCGUGCCAGCAGCCGCGGUAAUACGGAGGGUGCGAGCGUUAAUCGGAAUUACUGGGCGUAAAGCGCGCGUAGGCGGUCUGAUAAGCCGGUUGUGAAAGCCCCGGGCUCAACCUGGGAACGGCAUCCGGAACUGUCAGGCUAGAGUGCAGGAGAGGAAGGUAGAAUUCCCGGUGUAGCGGUGAAAUGCGUAGAGAUCGGGAGGAAUACCAGUGGCGAAGGCGGCCUUCUGGACUGACUCUGACGCUGAGGUGCGAAAGCGUGGGUAGCAAACAGGAUUAGAUACCCCGGUAGUC
rnacentral:rRNA from 1 species